GGUGAGUUGGUGAAAUGGUUUAACACACCGCCCUCUCAAGGCGGGAUGUGCGGGUUCGAAUCCCGUACUCACUA
rnacentral:tRNA from 2 species